AUUUACGUCAUCACUUCAGCUACUGGUGGUUGUGCACAAUGCUAGCCAAUUUUAAAAAAUCACUCAGCAAUGAGUUGGCUUUAAAACACUGGUUGAUGAUAGUUACAUCGAUUCUGAUAGGAUUCAAGUCACACAGGGUGACAAUAAUUGUACGAUACUUUAACCCCCUGGACAGAGCCUUUGAUAAUGUCUGUUGUAUGCACUUGUGCAGUACUUUGUAUUGAUUUGCAAUUUUAGUUAAUUUUGUAAUACAUUUGUUGAUUGUAUACCACCUGUUGGUUGUUUGUUGGUUUCAGACUAAGAUUUCUGGGUUAACAUACUGUUUCAAUUUGGGAAUUGACACGUAACACUUGGCCCAGUUUCAGAUUUAUGAUUUGUCAAACAGUCAAAACACUGUAUAGCAUUUGGUUUCAUGUAGCAUCAUGACAGACAGCAGGAGCUUAAUAGCAGCAAUUAUGUGAUUAUCACAUUUAUCUUCGACUUUCUGUAAAUAAAGGGGGAUAAACAUUACCAUAUUCAGUAGCUACAUGAACUAAAUCUAGGCAGCAUGGACAUUUGGCAAAAGAAUCAUCUAAAUCGGUUGCUAUAGCUACUCGUCACUUAAAUAUGUUAAAAACUCUUAAUCAAAGGUCCCUGAAAACCUGAUAUUAUACAGGCAACAGUCCACAACUGGUUAAUGCUGCCCAGUUCAGCAAUAGAGAUUGUGGAGUCAAACAGGUGAUUUUGUUUAACUCGUCUGAUAAGUCUCUCCACAUGAAUCCUGAGAGAUGCAAUGGCAAACACCGGUACGAAACAGCGGUCCAGGGGGCGCUGCGGAAUUUCCGUCCUUGUUGCUAGCUCCGUAUGCUAUUGUUUACAUACAAAAUGCCUUCGCGCUGUUGCGUACCGCAAUGUGACAGUCGUUCUGACGGCCACGGUUUUCCUCAAGAUCCGGAUAUUUGCAUAAAAUGGCGUGUGGCGAUUAGAAGAGAGGAUCCAGCAUCCAAGAAAUUAUGGAAACCAAGUCCAUACUCAGUGGUUUGUCGUAAUCACUUCCUUGACAGCGACUACAAGCCAUCGGACACCGGAAAGAAAAGACGAUUGAAGAGGGGUUGCAAUACCAACAGUGUUCUCCUUUAAGAAAGUGAAUGAACCAAGGAAACCUAGACACUAUAUCAUAGAUGUGGAAGAUGUUCCUGAUCUGGGAAGUGAGGUUGAAAUUUGUUCACCAGGAUGCGAUGAAAUUAUUUGUCAGUCAGAUGCUGUUGAUCAUACAGAAGAUGUGGCCAUACAGUGCAGCUUGUUGUCGGAAUCAAGCUCCAGAUUCUCGAUUCAUCGCAUAACUGAUAAUGACAAAGCAGUUUUGUAUUACACUGGCUUUGACAAUUAUGAUCAUUUUAUGUAUUUCUUUCAUGUACUUGGCCCCUCUGUCAAUCAUCUUUCAUAUCAGUGUUCCUUUUGAUACCACCAGAAGAUCAGCUUUUUAUGACUUUGUUAAAAUUCAGACAGGCAAGAGAUGAUUUUGACCUUUCCAUGUUGUUUCAUAUCAGUGAAAGUACUGUAUCAACAUUAAUUCUCACAUGGACAAACUUUUUGUACUUCCAACUGACUGAGCUAAACAUAUGGGCAUCACAUGACACCGUUCAAGAUACAAUGCCAGAAAAUUUCAAGGAGCGCUUCCCAUCAACAAGGGUCAUUCUAGAUGCAACUGAGACUCCGAUUUGUAAGUCAGGCAAUGUAGAUUACCAGGGGGCCACUUUCUCAAGGUACAAGAACAGGAACACUCUGAAAACUAUGAUUGGUUGUUCUCCUCGAGGUCUUGUUACCAAUGUUAGUGACAGUUAUGGUGGAUCAACAAGUGACAGGCAGAUUAUUGAGAGGUCAGAUUUGUGCAUGCCAGGUGUGUUUUGUGCAGGAGACAGUAUUAUGGCGGACAGAGGCAUUAUGGUGCAGGACAUAUUUUCAUCAUAAAAGUCAUAUAAAAGUCAACACUCCAACAAUGCUCAAGGGUCGAAGUCAGUUUGAACCCCAAGAGGUAGUCCACGACCACAGAGUAUCAUCCAAGAGAAUUCAUAUUGAGCGUGUUAUUGGACUUGGCAAAACUUACAAAAUUCUUAAGAGGUAGCUUCAUCCAUCAAAAGUUCCACUAGGCACUAGAAUUGUUCGAAUUUGCUAUAUAUGUUGUCAAACUUUCGCCCAAGCAUUGUAAACCGACUUGCAUGAAUAAAUGUCCAUUCUAAACAUACUUCACACAUUCAUGUAUGUUUGUAUGACCUAGUGUUGUCUUUUAAUAGCAUUGAAAGUACAACAGUUUACUACUAGUAGACAGGUGUGAUUGUCUACUGUGACUGUAUGGUAGGUAUUAGACACGGCUCACUGCUGUAUGAUUACUGUUUACUCUGUUCCUUAAUGAUCUUGUUCAACUAAUACAAUCCGGAAACUGCAAAGGUAUGUUUGUGAAUGAGUUAGUUGAUAAAAUUAGCACAAUGAUGUUUGCUGAUGGCAUUUUGAAUGCAAGUGACGCUAUUGUCAAAUUGCAGAAAUCAGAUGUAGCAAGCUUUUGUGGCAAAUAUGUUAUGAAUGUAAAUUUAGAUGAAACAAUUAUGAUUGUAUUUUGCAGAGGAGGAGUUUUCAAACAAAUUGAAAAAUAGUGGUUCAAAGGUGAAAUACUUUAAAUUGUAUCAGCAUACAAGUGCUUGUGAAUAUUUGACACCACAAAGUCUUCAUGGGGUUUAUUGUUGACAGAAUGAUUGUGCCAGUCAUUGGUUAUGGACCAGGUAUGUGGGGUUAUUCACAAGUUCAGACAGUUUAAAGUGUACA
rnacentral:lncRNA from 1 species